UUCUGCUACCAGACUUGGAGAUGAUAUAGAUUCUCUCUCUGUUCUCCUGUUCAGGCUAUUUAUUAACAAGGUUCAGAUUCAAGUUCUUCUAGCCCAAUAUACUACUCUAUAAACUUGUUUUCCUAAAAAGGUCAAUUCUCCCUACAAAAAUUUAACCCUGAUCAACUAAAAACUUUAGAGAGCUAAUAAUUUAUCCACGUUGGCCUGUAUCAAAUUUUAAAAAGCUGACUGUAGCGCCAUGCACCUGAAGGCUGCUUUUAAGUGACUGAUCUAAAGGCUCUGAGAUACACCACCUUUCCGAGGCAGCAGUAGCUGCGGACUACUGCUCAUGCUUUUGUUUCUGUUAAGAACCACACCAAAUCCAGAGUCAGACAGAAAGGAAAUGUAAUAGGAAGAACAAAAGGAAGGGAAAUAUAAACAAAACAAUGAAAAAAAAACAGAAGAAGAACAAGAUAAACAGAAAAUGAUUCAAAAUAACAAGAAUAACUGGUUAUAUGGCUUGCAGGUUGUGGCUUCAAAUUAUUUUUUUGUUUUGCUGGGAAGGAGUAGGUAUUCUGGGUUGUUUUCAUGUAUUUUGGGGAAUAUUCCUUUGAGAGGCCAUUCAUGUAACUUCAAAGCAGGAUUCAAUCUCAAUAAGUGAACAGUACAACAACAGCUAAAAAGAUGAGGAGCAACAUAGAACUCAAUUCACACCAGGAAUUAUGGGAGUCUCACAAGAAAUGCUAACCGAAAAAACCCACCAAGCCAACAAAAAUAAUUUCUCCUUUUUUUCCUCCCACUCCCACCCCGCACCCUUCACCGCCCAUUUUGGAGCCACAAACAAAAAAGGAUAGUUUCAGAAUGUUUCUCUUGCCAGAUAUACGCAGGACAAAAAAGAAUUAGGCACACCACUAAAGCAUCUCACAGACCAAAAUUUAGUGGCCAAAGUGACUCUGAAAGUCAAGCCACACAACAGAGUUUUUCUACAGAAAGUGCUAAAACCAGUAUCACACCAUGUGAUUCAUUUGACAAAGUUCAUCAAACUCUCAGAUAAAGUGAGCUGAGCUUUACAAAAAAGAAAAGAAAUGACAGAAUGCAUUUCGAACUAAUUCCACUGGAUACACCAGAACAGUUAAGUGACUCGGCAAUGAAUGACAAAAGGAAAGGAACAGAAGAAAGGAUUUGU